AUGAUCACUGUGACCUCAGAGGCCAACUGGUCUGCAAAGCUGGAACUGGAGUGAGGGAGAGAGGAGUCAUCAUCCAGCUUCGAAGAAAACAUCCGGAACUGUUCCUCAGAUGGGCAAGAUCUCAUUAUUGGACUGUCCAACCAGCCAAAGGACUGAGACAUGCGACAAAAGAAUAGAGCAGCAUUCAGUGACCACCACACACGAGCAUGUUCCUGCAAUAUUCAGCAUCUGAUCCUUGUUCACCUGUGUGCUUCUGCCUUUGUGUCAAAUGUCAAAGAGUUGGAAAGGAAACUACACAGGUGUACUGUGAUGUUUCACCAACAUGUGCCAGACACUGUUCCUGCCUGUCAUGGUGACAUCACCAGCCCCACCUACCUCAGGAC